CAUUUAUUCGCGCAGGAGCAACCGGAUCCCCAACCUCUCGAUAAGCAGCGGGCGGCGGCGCUUUUCAGUGAUCUCGCCGCCUCCGGCGACUAUGGCCAACGCCCAACGCUAAUCCCAUCGAGUUGGCGAGGUAAAACCAAUGUUGUAUCUUCUCCUUCCCCUUCUCUAGCUAUAACCGUUCGAUUUACUGAUUUAGAUCCGCGGCGCCCGAAUACCUGUGCCUCCGUUCAAAGUCGCCGAUUUCUGCAGAUAGGUGGAUUUUUCUAACGAAUUGUUUUUUGAAAGCUGCCAAGAGCACUGGCCCAUCAUAUAAGCAGAUGAGGCACCCGCGCCGGCCGGCGCUCGAACGCGGGUGGGCUGCCCGAUCCCCAGCUCGGUCCUCAAAUUCUAGCAAAUUGUUUCAGGAGUGCCUCGAACGCGGGUGGGCUGCCCGACAGCCCGAGCCCGGAGCCCUAGCUCGGUCCUCAAAUUCUCGCGAAUUGUUUCAGGAAUUCUUAUGCUGUAGCUUGAUGUAAAUUCUGCAAUGACUGAUUGACCACUAGUGGUGCCAAAAUUUUGAAGGGCAGGGAGAAUUCUGAAUGGUGAUUCAGACCAGCCGGAUGGCUGAUCCCCAUCCUGAAGUACUGAACUCCUGAAGGCACACGUCAAAGACCAAGCAAAAUGCUAAAAGAUAUCGAAGAUCCCUAGCCGAACAAGUACCUCUCAAGUCACUGCCAGAUAAAUGGGAGCCUCCCUCUGGAGCUUGCCUCCACGGGGAGUACUCUUUAACUGUAAUUAGUAAAUUUUCGGUGGUGCGUGCAUCAGUACAAAUGGGACAUUAACAUGCACCUUCCAAUCCUUGCAAUCUGCCUACCUUUUAGGUCCAAAGGCUAGAAAAAAUGAUGACAACCAGCUUAUUCUGCCAGUUACUUCUUCCCCAUCAGCUCCUGGAGCAGUGCUCACACAGGUUUGCAUAUGUUUCUUGUUUUUCUCCUUUUACUCCUGUUUACUACUAAAUAUAUUUGUACGCCGUUGGACGUUGACAAUUUUGAAUAAAAUUAUGAUAAAAUGAUUUUGGGUGAAAUCUGACUGUUACCAGUUAGGAGCCCAUCGUUUGGCUGGCUGGGUCAGUCCUUUGCACUUGUGUUGGCUACCAUAUAUAUUUCUGGUAUGCAUGCUCGGAAGUCUGGGGUCUAGUGACAUGUCUUUAGGUGUAGGCUUGUUUUGUCGCCCUGAUAGCAUAGCCUAGACUUUGUGCUAUUUGUAUCGCCCAACAACUAUGUCAUGCUAACAGUGACAUAUAACGAGUCACCAUUAAUGAACUGCUUUGCCAGCAUCAUCGUGUACUAGUUUUCCUUAUGUACCUGAUUUAGUAGCUAUAGCUAGUACUCUCUUUCCCAGUUUCUCCUUGUCAAAAUUGGUAAAAUCAUGUAGAAUUGGGACUUAACAGGGACACUUCAGAGUUUAGAGUAUUGACCAAAGUAGCCUGUAUGCAUAAUGGGUAGCAUAUGAGCAACAACAGAGAUAUAUAUUGUUCUGGAAGGACUAACAGAAUGGUUAAUCAUUUCCUUCUGCAUGAAUUCACGGCACAAAGACUACGGAACAUAAAGAUGCCAUAGAACAUAAGAGGUAAUGGUUAACAUCAUCGAUGGCUCAGAUCCACAAUAUGCAAUCAAUCAAGAUCCUAUCGAAAGUGAUCACAUGGUCGUGGUCAUAUUGACAAUGAAGUCUCAUCCAGAUGGUUGUGAUGGGAGGGUCCACAAGGCAUUCUACUGUACUGGAGUUGCAGUUGGUGAGUCAUUCGCCGAUUAUUCAUUUAUUAUAGGUCGGCCAUGAAAGAAAAGUAGUUAUGGGGGUACAAAGUGAAAAGGGCUGAUUUAGGCCUUAGGGGUGGUUUAUUGGUAUUUAGUUUUAUAUGCAUUCUUAGUUUCAAGAUAAAAUGGUAAUUCUAGGAAGGGAAUAUUUUGGCAAUCACUAGGGUAAUAUACAAAGUCACCUACCGUUCUCUGUCAUGUAUUUUGCGAGAUUCUUGCAGAACGUGCAGAAACAUAUUAUUCAGCGUGAGUGGGUGAACGUUAACUUUUCUGGUGAAAAGGCUGAACCAUUUGUUCUGGUCA